rnacentral:tRNA from 1 species
GGGCCCGUAGUUUAACCUGGCUAGAACGCAAGGCUCUUAACCUUGAUGUUGCGGGUUCAAAUCCCGUCGGGCCCA